GCACUAAUCGUCUAGUGGUUAGGAUGGCUCCCUUCCAUCUGGAGAGCAAGGAGUCGACCGGCGUUCGAAUCGCCGUUAGUGCA